AAAAAAAGUAUGGAAAUCCUCCGCUUCUUGAUUAUGGAGCAAAUUUAACUUUUCUGUGUUUUCUUUAAUUUAUAAACCAGGAAGGUAAUAUUCGAACAGUUUGUAGUCUGUCGAUUUCGUCGGCUGCAGUGACCUCUUCUCUGCUUUCCCAUCGGCGAGGGGAAAUUCUCGAAGUUGUGGAGAUAAGUUAGGCGCACGAGCACUAGCAAAGGAGAGCAACCAGGACGAGCGUCCACAACGGGCGGUGGGAAGCGAUGCGUGAGUGUACAACUACAUCAAGUACAACAAAUCAAUACAUGUUUGGUUCUCGGGAGUUGGUUUCUCCCGUUCUACUGUUUCCCUUUUGGUGUUAGCUAAAUUGAUGUUACUUUGGUUCACAAUAGUUCAAUCAUUCAACUAAUGUACUUGUAGUCACUUGUUUCCUUCUAGUUUGAUUCGUUGUUCGUUGUGCACUAGUAAGUCUUCUUGAGAUCUG